GCCUGGGUGGUGAAAUUGGUAGACACAAGGGACUUAAAAUCCCUCGGGGGCAACUCCGUGCCGGUUCGAGUCCGGCCCUAGGCACCA
rnacentral:tRNA from 1 species